UAAAACACUUCAUACAAAUCGAAAUCUAAAAAGCGCGGAACUUUCACAUAUUUUCCGUCGGAACAAUUAUCGUUCAACCCUGUAGAAAAAGCGGGCUCAAUUAAUCGCGCGGAACCUUAAUAUUAUCUACUCUGUACAAAUGGUAGUGUAUAAAAUCGCGCGGAGAUUAUAGAAUGCUAUUUUAAGAAGUCUAUUGAAGAGAGAAAAUCCAGUAAAUACCAGAUCCAAAAAGCGCGGAACACAAAUAUCGUCCGCGAAAAUAAAGCAUUGAAUUACUGUACAAAUCUCGGGUUGUUUGGUGUUAGAAUUCUUAGUUACCCGAAAAAUUUGAUUGGAUCCGAUACUUAGAAAUAACCAAUCAGAAACUUUGUAACAAAUUUAACACAGUCAGUAUAACGUUUCAAGAUGGCAGAGGGAAUUGCAUGGUUAUUGUUUCUACUCGAUGGAUUCGCAGAUAAUUCGGAAAUAGAUCAGAUUGGGAUCAAUAACUUUAAUGCAUACGAUCAUUAACAUGUAUUAUCAGGUGUGUGUUGCCAGUAAUAGUUGAAGAUAUGCCAAACAAAUUGUGCCUCUCUAUACAGACAGAUUUCAGGUCUCAAUUUCGACUUCAAAGGUCAACAUAUCACUGAUAUCAGGAAUCCUGUGAAACUGUGACCCCAUGUAUGGUACGUGAGCGCACAAUGUCUGUUGACAAAAGGAUAUUGGCAACUUGUGGAUGCUUGGUAUCCAAGAAUCCUACAGGAGCGUGGCUGACCGAUUUGGAACAAACAAAGGGACUUUACAUCUCACAGUCAUUUCAACAUGUAGAGUCUUGUGGACAUUGAUGGAUCAGUACAUCAGAUUUCCAGAAUCUCGUCAUGAGCUGAAGACCAUUGCCGAUGGAUUUCAUCAACUAUGUGGAAUGCCUGGCGUUGUAGGGGCUGUUGAUGGAUCCCACAGUGCAUGUCCUGCUCCAACAUUCCAGCAUAGGUCCUUGUUUAUCAACAGUUUAGUUGUUCAAGCAGUCUGUGACAGUAACUUGAAAUGUUUGGACAUAUGCUCUGGAUGGCCAAGUUCUGUGCAUGAUGCCCAUGUAUAAUAUGAACAGCCCAGUAGCGCAUUUAAUUGAAAAUCUUCGGAAUUAGUACCAUGUUCUCGAGGAUUCAGCAUACCACCUGACAAGAAAUCUGCUUGUUCUAUAUCGAGGCCAUGAACAUUGGUACCAUUUGCAAGAGAAAUUCAACAAGUGCCAUUCAUCUAAGAGUUGAUGUGGAACGGGCAAUUGGUCUCUUGAAAUGCAAAUUCAGGCGGCCAAAAUACUUAAACAUGCUAGUAGAGCUGGAGAUGUUGCUAGUGAUCUUUGCUUGUUGUGUCCACAACUUCAUUCUGCUGCAAGAGUCAGACACAGAACCUGAAGUUGACACAUUUGAUCAGAUAGACAUAUGCCCCCGAAGCAGUUGGAAAUGGUCAGGCCCACCGAGAAGCAGAGGAGAAGUGGCGUGCUAUUGCCCUGGAACUGUGAUGGGUUGACAAGUGAUAUGAAUUCCCUACUGCGAUAUUUGUGCCUGUGUUCAUGCUUAAUAGUUGAUAAAUAAUUGGAAGUCAUAACGUGAUGGUGUUGGUGGGACUAUGAAUUUUGUUAAGGUAAAAAGUGUGGAAAAUAUAAUUAAAAGUCAAAGAGUUCUGCUAUUGUUAAGCAUGCUUUAUUGAUUUGUAUUGUUUGAAAGAUAGCAUUAUUAACAGAAUAAAAUGUCCAUAAUUUGAAUAUUCUACUGUUUUCAGCAACAUUUUAUUUGAUAUAGUACAAAAUGCUGUAUCAUGUUAUAUCAUGAUCAGUUAUGUGAACAAUCACAUCUCUAUGUAUAUUUGAUAAUUUGUCAAUGGAUGUUACACGCGUUAGCCCUACCAUUAGCCCAUACAGGUAUUGCUUAGGAGUUUUGCCACCUUCUAGAGAGAAAAACUUCUCAGGAACAAUUGCUUUUGGGAUAGUCUAUGGCUAGUAAAAUUUGGAUUGAUUUGGGUUACCCAAUGUAACCAAUUUAUGUUUGAUGAAUUUGCAAUAAAAAGCUUUGACAGAAUUUUCCAACAUAAUGUCACAGAGUCGAAAAAAAGUGUAUGGAAU